rnacentral:rRNA from 1 species
UAAGGAAUAUUGGUCAAUGGACGCAAGUCUGAACCAGCCAUGCCGCGUGAAGGAUUAAGGUCCUCUGGAUUGUAAACUUCUUUUAUUUGGGACGAAAAAGGGUCUUUCUAGACCAACUGACGGUACCAGAUGAAUAAGCACCGGCUAACUCCGUGCCAGCAGCCGCGGUAAUACGGAGGGUGCAAGCGUUAAUCGGAAUUACUGGGCGUAAAGCGUGCGCAGGCGGUUUCUUAAGUCAGAUGUGAAAGCCCCGGGCUUAACCUGGGAACUGCGUUUGAAACUGGGAGACUUGAGUGUGGCAGAGGGGGGUGGAAUUCCACGUGUAGCAGUGAAAUGCGUAGAUAUGCGGAGGAACACCGAUGGCGAAGGCAGCCCCCUGGGAUGAUACUGACGCUCAUGCACGAAAGCGUGGGGAGCAAACAGG